ensembl:lncRNA USP38-DT USP38 divergent transcript
GUGUGUCGAGUCACAGGCGGUCUUCCGCGCGGAGCGUCCCCGGCGGACGCUGCGCAGAUGGCUGCGACUGUAGGAUUCUUGCCGGCUAGUCUUCGUCGGUUCCGCCUGCGUCAGGUUACUCGUGAAAACUCGAAUAAGUGCUAUCGAUGUGAAAUCCGAGGAAAAGAGCAUUUGGGGGAAAAGUUAAAAGGACUUCUGACUCAAACUCCUCCUCUUGAGUUUGCAGUUUGCCACUUCCAGCCUGGCGACUAGGUGCUGAUUAAGACUUGGAAAGAAGACAAGCUCCACCCAAGCUGAGAAGGUCCCUGUCAAGUGCUGCUGACCCCUGAGAUGGCCAUAUGUACAGCUGAAUGGGGGUGGACUCACUAUACUUGUCAAGGGACUGGUAAAAGAGACCCUGGAAGGGUGGGAAAAAGACCAGUGGAAAGUACAUGGGUCACCUGAGGAACCCUUAAAAUUAACUCUGAGAUGAAUCUAAAAAGAAAACAUGGGCUGGUCCCAUUUCUGGAAAUUAAUAUGGCUGGGAUGGGCUACUAUGCAAAGAGAAGAAGGUCAAAGUAGAAACUAUCAGGGGACUCCUCCCUACCCACUCAGGUUGGUAAUUAAUGUAAACAAGAUGGUGGCACCCAAGACUAUAAGAUUUGAUGACUGCCAAGGUUUUUACCUUGUAAGAAUUUGGAAAAUCAGAGACAGCUCUCACAUGUGGAUAAAUAUCCACUUCAUAUGAGGUGCUUGGAAUAGUCAAAUUAGAGGUUUCUAGGGGCUAGGGAGAAAAUAAAUGGGGAGUUAUUGUUUAAUAGGUACAGAGUUUCUCUUUCAAAGAAUGAAAAGUUCUGUAAAUGGAUAGUGGUGAUGAUUGCACAACAGUGUGUACUUAAUGCCACCGAACUGUACACUUAAGAAUGGUAAAUUUUAGGUUAUAUUUUACCACAAUAAAAAAUUAAAAUCAACAGUAAAGAAAUCAAUCCAAUUAAAAAUGGGCAAAAGAUUUCAAGACACAUUUCAAUGAAGAGGAUUUACAUAUGGCAAACAAAUGGAAAGUUGUUUAACAUUUCUAGCUAAUAGGGAAAUGCAAAUUAAGACCAUGAGAUAUUAUAACACAUUUAUUAGAGAACCACUAAAAUAAAAAAUGGUGACAACAUUAAUGCUGGCAAAGAUGCAGACAAACUGAUUUCUCAUACAUUGCAAGUGGAAAUGCAAAAUGGUUUAACCACUCUGGAGAAUUGUUUGGAAGUUUCUUAAAAAUUAAACAUGCAGCUAUCAUAUGAUCAAACUGUUGAACUACUAGG